UCGUAAAUGUUAUUGGCUGUUUAUGGAGAAGUAUCAUGUCGACGAAUCCUAAUUGUUUUCAACAAAAUAUGUGACAAGGACUACUCUUUAAGUAAUCAUAUAAUGUUUGGGCAUAAGUGUUGACAUCUUUGUAUUGAUGUCAUCAUCUUCUCAUCACUUGUGAAGUACUUACCCCAUGCAAGAACGGUAGCUAGUCAAAUAGUAUCCAAGAACGGUAGUAUGAUGGGCAUAUGGUGUAUUAUUAUAUGGUGGAAAUUUUAGAUGGGUCUUCUAUAUAAGAUACUAGUUGUUGACCCGCGCUACGCGCGUGAGUUUUAUAAUUAUUUUUUUAUAUUUUAAAAUUUAUAUUUUGAUUUUUUUUGUUUUUACUUUUGUUUUUGUAUUAAUUUAGUAUAUGAAAUGUUUAUUGUUAUUUGUUAAACUUUGAUUUAGGUCAAAUAUUAGCUGUUAUAACCUUACAUUUCAAAAGCCUUCAAUUCUUGUAGGCCAAAUUGUUUUGGUGAAUCCACUUAUUUAUUUAUCCAAGUGUUUUUAUUUUACUUUUUAGUUUUUUUUUUCUACUUC
rnacentral:lncRNA from 1 species